rnacentral:rRNA from 1 species
UCGGGAAUCUUGGUCAAUGGGCGCAAGCCUGAACCAGCCAUGCCGCGUGUGCGAAGAAGGCCCUAGGGUUGUAAAGCACUUUCAGUCGCGAAGAAAUCCUCAAGGUUAAUACCCUUGAGUGUUGACGUUAACGACAGAAGAAGUACCGGCUAACUCCGUGCCAGCAGCCGCGGUAAUACGGAGGGUACGAACGUUAAUCGGAAUUACUGGGCGUAAAGCGCGCGUAGGCGGUUUGGUAAGUGGGAUGUGAAAGCCCCGGGCUUAACCUGGGAACUGCAUUCCAAACUGCCAGACUAGAGUAUGGUAGAGGGAGGUAGAAUUUCCUGUGUAGCGGUGAAAUGCGUAGAUAUAGGAAGGAAUACCGAUGGCGAAGGCAGCCUCCUGGACCAAUACUGACGCUGAGGUGCGAAAGCGUGGGGAGCAAACAGGAUUAGAUACCCCCGUAGUCC